CAAUAGCGUAUAUUAAAGUUGUUGCAGUUAAAAAGCUCGUAGUUGGAUUUCUGGUCGGAAGCUCCUGUCCUCUGAUGAGCGUACAAGUGCGUCCUACCAUCCUUCUGUUAACCUUUAAGGCUUUCGCGGCUUUCUAGGGGCUCAGAUAUUUUACCUUGAGAAAAUUAGAGUGUUUCAGGCAGGCUAGCGCCGGAAUACGUUAGCAUGGAAUAAUGGAAUAGGACUUUUGCCUCUUCUGUUGGUCAUGAGGCUCGAGUAAUGAUUAAUAGGGAUAGUUGGGGGCAUUAGUACUUAACUGUCAGAGGUGAAAUUCUCGGAUUUGUUAAAGACUAACUUAUGCGAAAGCAUUUGCCAAGGAUGUUUUCAUUA
rnacentral:rRNA from 1 species